CAGUAGCCGCGGUAAUACGUAGGGUGCGAGCGUUAAUCGGAAUUACUGGGCGUAAAGCGUGCGCAGGCGGUUGUGUAAGACAGGUGUGAAAUCCCCGGGCUUAACCUGGGAACUGCGCUUGUGACUGCACAGCUAGAGUAUGGCAGAGGGGGGUGGAAUUCCACGUGUAGCAGUGAAAUGCGUAGAGAUGUGGAGGAACACCGAUGGCGAAGGCAGCCCCCUGGGCCAAUACUGACGCUCAUGCACGAAAGCGUGGGGAGCAAACAGGAUUAGAGACCCGCGUAGUCCCUGUCUCUUAUAA
rnacentral:rRNA from 1 species